rnacentral:rRNA from 1 species
UACGUAGGGGGCAAGCGUUGUCCGGAUUUAUUGGGCGUAAAGAGCUCGUAGGUGGUUCGGUAAGUCGGAUGUGAAAUCUCCAGGCUCAACCUGGAGGGGUCAUUCGAUACUGCCGUGACUAGAGUUCGGUAGGGGAGUGUGGAAUUCCUGGUGGAGCGGUGAAGUGCGCAGAUAUCAGGAGGAACACCCGUAGCGAAGGCGGCACUCUGGGCCGAUACUGACACUGAGGAGCGAAAAGCGUGGGGAGCGAACAGG